AUGAAACCCCUCACACACUGCAGGAGCAGAGAGAAGACCUUGGGGAAGCUUGCAUCACAGGAGUCCUGGGAGACAGUUUUGUGCUCUGUAUUUGGUCUACAAGUUUGCACUGCAAUCAGAUUAACUGGUAAGAGAUGUACAGAAGACUCAAGCCAGGAAAGGCGAAACUAUGAGGAUAGAGGCUUUCUUUCUGGAGCUGUUGGGAGCUGGAGUGAGAGCCCACAAGAGAGUGGAAACAGUCCAAGAAAAGCAGGGAGGAUGUGCAGAGACAGUUUAUUCAAGGAAAACCAGUUGAAUCUAAUUGGCUGAAAACCAAUUAAUAAAAGCUGUGUAUAAAAAUGAUCACAGAGGAUGAGAAACUCUGCCAACUCAGCCUAAGUUCAGAAGAGGGUAUCCUGGCCAGGCCAGGGCAGAGGAGUGGUACAGCCAGCAAAGACGGCUCUUUGUGGAAGCUCUGGACCCACACGGAUUUCCUGGUCCUCCAAGGACUUUCACUGUGAGUACUCUGGCUGUGUGACAUGGACUAAUAUCUCAAAGCCUCUAGUACAAGAUUAGGAGGUUGCAGAUGAAGAUAAUGGAACAGAACCCACAUUUAGUGGAUUCCAAGAGCUUGUUUUCUUACUUUUUAUUUAUUUAUUUUUUUGGCUGUACCAUGGUAUGUAGAAGUUCCCAAGCCAGGGAUUGAACCCAAACCACAGCAGUGACAACACCAGAUCCUUAACCCACUGCACCACCGGGGAACUCCCCAAGAGCUCAUUUGCAUUGGCAGGUGAUAGGUCUUGGGAUGAGCCAUCCACAGAAGCUCAAUCCCCUUUGUGGUCUGUUUAAGGGUGACCAAGCAGCAGUUUGUCACUGUAUAAAAUGCAUGACUCUUAGAGGGACUGAACAUGCUACCUGGCCUCAUUUGCACUAUGAACUGAGAUAAAUGAAUGACUUGAUACACUGUGUAGACAGAUUAUAACUACUGAAGCCCUGAGCAAAUAAGCCGGAAUAUUCUUCAGAUAUCAAUGAGACGGAGAAUGCAAGUUUAAAAACCUGCAUAAAUACGAUCAUCUCAUGAUUGAAGAUUUCAGCCUAUAGUAAUCAGAAUACAUGAAGAAAAUCUGCAGAGAAUGAGGACUAUCAUUGAGAGAAGUCAUAUUCCUAGGACCAAGAAUAGAUUUUUGGUUAAAAUGAAAUAAUUAUGAAGUCAAAUACCAAAAAAAGUUGUACUUUUCCAUGGAAAGCCUCAUGGGAUUUAGAAUGAGUUUUCUAUUUUACUGCUCAUAGCUACACGUCCAAGAUGUUCUUUCUGAUUGGUCAGGAAAAUUUGGCCCUGGCCCCCUAUAUGACUGCCCUGUGGAGCCAGGACUAGAUGUAUCUGUCUUGCUCUCUUCUGGCAGUUUCAUGUGGUCUGACUGACUUGUACAGGCUGAAUGUUUUCAUGUUCCCAUAAGUAUACUGAAUGAAUAAACAACUGGGCACACUAAGCUAGCCAUUAAUUUAUACUGGGGAGCAUCACAAAAUAUGGUAAAAAAAACCCCCACAAAACUAUGAUAUUGUGCAACAUGACUUCAUUGCAGCUGAUUUAUGAGACAUUUCACACUCUAAUUGGGAUAGUUAAAUUUACUAACUUACUAGGUUUGACACAACUAUGAUUUUCUAUUUCCUCUCAUCUGUUGGACAAACUGUGUAUUUCUCAAAGGAACAGUAUGGGUUUCUUUGGUGCCUGGGCUCAGAGGCCACAUUUGUGGUUGGUUAACAUUUUGCCAAAAGCUUUGUUAAAAUAAAAUAGUUCAUUCUCUCAUCUGUGUGGAAAUUCUGGGGGUGGGAAGAAGGAGCCCUUUCUUACUAGGGAAAAUAACUAAUUUUGCUUUGGUUUCAAUACGGUAUUCAGUUCUUAUUUGACUCAUGAACAAUUCAAUGUACACAGCUUACUCUGAUGGGGAUAAUGUUUGGUUUUAGGGUAUUGUGACUAGGAAAUAGCAUUAAUAAUUCUUUGAAUAUAUUCUUUUCCAUGAUUAAAGAGCACAUUAUUUAAAGAAUUUGUCAUCUUUCUGUUCAGUGUUUAUUUACCAAGCAAUAAUGGUUAGGGGAUCUUCAUCCAAUCCUAAACCAGAGUAAACAGUGUUUUCUGAGGGUAAUCAGUUGUCUGGGGAGUCCAUCAGCUACCAUUCAAUGUGCUAAGGAAACAUCUUCCCCUUUCUCAUCAUUUCAUCAUAUUAAUAUCACCUCCUUUCAGUGUUUAUGAAGCUUGCACAGCUUGGCUUCAAGUACUGGAUGUCCUUAACCAAUUAAGCAGCACUCUUACCCUUAUAGAAGAAUCUCAAGAAAAUGCUCACCAAUACCUGCCCUGAGAACUCUUGCAGGAAAGGCAGGGUGGUGUGGAGCAAAGAGCACCAAAAUAGGAGGCCAAAGGGCAAGGGUCUUUCCUCACUCUUUCCCAAGUGGUGUGAUCCUGCAUGCAUGUCUUUUCAAGGAAAGUGGUGGUAACAUGUCUGGCCAGCUAAUCCUAGGUGCGAUGUGUGAC
rnacentral:lncRNA from 1 species